UACAUACUACCUCCGUUCCAUAAUUCUUGUCUCAAAUUUGGGCAAAAAUAAAUGUAUCUAUUCCUAAAAAGUGUCUAGAUACAUGUAAUAUUUCGACAGGAAUUAUGGAACGGAGGGAGUACGUC
rfam:Brachypodium distachyon strain Bd21 chromosome 2, whole genome shotgun sequence.